CGGACUAUGGCGCAGUUUGGUAGCGCACUACACUGGGGGUGUAGGGGUCGCAGGUUCAAAUCCUGUUAGUCCGAC
rnacentral:tRNA from 3 species